rnacentral:rRNA from 1 species
UCAAGCGAACAAGUGCAUGUGGUGGAUGCCUUGGCGAUCACAGGCGAUGAAGGACGCGGUAGCCUGCGAAAAGCUUCGGGGAGCUGGCAAACAAGCUUUGAUCCGGAGAUGUCCGAAUGGGGAAACCCGGCCCGUAUGGGUCAUCCCACACUGAAUCCAUAGGUGUGGGAAGCGAACGCGGCGAACUGAAACAUCUAAGUAGCUGCAGGAACAGAAAUCAACCGAGAUUCCCAAAGUAGUGGCGAACGAAAUGGGAAGAGCCUUGCACUCUUUAGCAGGACUGUUAGCAAAACGGGAUGGAAAGCCCGGCCAUAGCAGGUGAUAGCCCUGUAUGCGAAAACAGACUUGUGGAACUAGGUGUGCGACAAGUAGGGCGGGACACGUGAAAUCCUGUCUGAAGAUGGGGGGACCAUCCUCCAAGGCUAAAUACUCGUGAUCGACCGAUAGUGAACCAGUACCGUGAGGGAAAGGCGAAAAGAACCCCGGGAGGGGAGUGAAAUAGAUCCUGAAACCGCAUGCAUACAAACAGUCGGAGCCUCGUAAGGGGUGACGGCGUACCUUUUGUAUAAUGGGUCAGCGACUUACAUUCAGUGGCAAGCUUAACCGAUUAGGGAAGGCGUAGCGAAAGCGAGUCCGAACAGGGCGUUGAGUCGCUGGGUGUAGACCCGAAACCAGAUGAUCUAUCCAUGGCCAGGUUGAAGGUGCGGUAACACGUACUGGAGGACCGAACCCACUAACGUUGAAAAGUUAGGGGAUGAGCUGUGGAUAGGGGUGAAAGGCUAAACAAAUCUGGAAAUAGCUGGUUCUCUCCGAAAACUAUUUAGGUAGUGCCUCGUGUCUCACCUUCGGGGGUAGAGCACUGUCAUGGUUGGGGGGUCUAUUGCUGAUUACCCCGCCAUAGCAAACUCCGAAUACCGAAGAGUGCAAUCACGGGAGACAGACAUCGGGUGCUAACGUCCGGUGUCAAGAGGGAAACAACCCAGACCGCCAGCUAAGGUCCCCAAAUAUAGCUAAGUGGGAAACGAAGUGGGAAGGCUAAAACAGUCAGGAGGUUGGCUUAGAAGCAGCCACCCUUUAAAGAAAGCGUAAUAGCUCACUGAUCGAGUCGUCCUGCGCGGAAGAUGUAACGGGGCUAAGCUAUAUACCGAAGCUGCGGACGCACGCAAGUGCGUGGUAGGAGAGCGUUCUGUAAGCCUGUGAAGGUGUCUUGUAAAGGAUGCUGGAGGUAUCAGAAGUGCGAAUGCUGACAUGAGUAGCGAUAAAGGGGGUGAAAGGCCCCCUCGCCGUAAGCCCAAGGUUUCCUACGCAACGUUCAUCGGCGUAGGGUGAGUCGGCCCCUAAGGCGAGGCAGAGAUGCGUAGCUGAUGGGAAGCAGGUUAAUAUUCCUGCACCGUCGUAUGAUGCGAUGGGGGGACGGAUCGCGGAAGGUUGUCCGGGUGUUGGAAGUCCCGGUCCCUGCAUUGGAGAAGGCGCUCAGGCAAAUCCGGGCGCGGGAUUCAAGAGUGUGGGGCGAGCGGCCUAGUGCUGCGAAGCAAUUGGAAGUGGUUCCAAGAAAAGCCUCUAAGCUUCAGUCAUACGAGACCGUACCGCAAACCGACACAGGUGGGCGAGAUGAGUAUUCUAAGGCGCUUGAGAGAACUCGGGAGAAGGAACUCGGCAAAUUGGUACCGUAACUUCGGGAUAAGGUACGCCCUGGUAGCUUGACUGGCCUGCGCCAGAAGGGUGAAGGGGUUGCAAUAAAAUGGUGGNGCGUGGUAGGAGAGCGUUCUGUAAGCCUGUGAAGGUGUCUUGUAAAGGAUGCUGGAGGUAUCAGAAGUGCGAAUGCUGACAUGAGUAGCGAUAAAGGGGGUGAAAGGCCCCCUCGCCGUAAGCCCAAGGUUUCCUACGCAACGUUCAUCGGCGUAGGGUGAGUCGGCCCCUAAGGCGAGGCAGAGAUGCGUAGCUGAUGGGAAGCAGGUUAAUAUUCCUGCACCGUCGUAUGAUGCGAUGGGGGGACGGAUCGCGGAAGGUUGUCCGGGUGUUGGAAGUCCCGGUCCCUGCAUUGGAGAAGGCGCUCAGGCAAAUCCGGGCGCGGGAUUCAAGAGUGUGGGGCGAGCGGCCUAGUGCUGCGAAGCAAUUGGAAGUGGUUCCAAGAAAAGCCUCUAAGCUUCAGUCAUACGAGACCGUACCGCAAACCGACACAGGUGGGCGAGAUGAGUAUUCUAAGGCGCUUGAGAGAACUCGGGAGAAGGAACUCGGCAAAUUGGUACCGUAACUUCGGGAUAAGGUACGCCCUGGUAGCUUGACUGGCCUGCGCCAGAAGGGUGAAGGGGUUGCAAUAAAAUGGUGGCUGCGACUGUUUAAUAAAAACACAGCACUCUGCAAACACGAAAGUGGACGUAUAGGGUGUGACGCCUGCCCGGUGCCGGAAGAUUAAAUGAUGGGGUGCAAGCUCUUGAUUGAAGUCCCGGUAAACGGCGGCCGUAACUAUAACGGUCCUAAGGUAGCGAAAUUCCUUGUCGGGUAAGUUCCGACCUGCACGAAUGGCGUAACGAUGGCCACACUGUCUCCUCCCGAGACUCAGCGAAGUUGAAGUGUUUGUGAUGAUGCAAUCUCCCCGCGGCUAGACGGAAAGACCCCAUGAACCUUUACUGUAGCUUUGCAUUGGACUUUGAACCGAUCUGUGUAGGAUAGGUGGGAGGCUUUGAAGCGUGGACGCUAGUCUACGUGGAGCCGUCCUUGAAAUACCACCCUGGUUUGUUUGAGGUUCUAACCUUGGCCCGUGAAUCCGGGUCGGGGACAGUGCAUGGUAGGCAGUUUGACUGGGGCGGUCUCCUCCCAAAGUGUAACGGAGGAGUUCGAAGGUACGCUUGGUACGGUCGGACAUCGUACCUAAAGUGCAAUGGCAAAAGCGUGCUUAACUGCGAGACCGACAAGUCGAGCAGGUGCGAAAGCAGGACAUAGUGAUCCGGUGGUUCUGAAUGGAAGGGCCAUCGCUCAACGGAUAAAAGGUACUCUGGGGAUAACAGGCUGAUACCGCCCAAGAGUUCAUAUCGACGGCGGUGUUUGGCACCUCGAUGUCGGCUCAUCUCAUCCUGGGGCUGUAGCCGGUCCCAAGGGUAUGGCUGUUCGCCAUUUAAAGAGGUACGUGAGCUGGGUUUAAAACGUCGUGAGACAGUUUGGUCCCUAUCUGCCGUGGGCGUUGGAAUCUUGACGGGGGCUGCUCCUAGUACGAGAGGACCGGAGUGGACGUACCGCUGGUGUACCUGUUGUCUCGCCAGAGGCAUCGCAGGGUAGCUAUGUACGGAAGAGAUAACCGCUGAAAGCAUCUAAGCGGGAAACUCGCCUGAAGAUGAGGAUUCCCUGGCGGCUUGACCGCCUUGAAGGGUCGUUCGAGACCAGGACGUUGAUAGGCUGGGUGUGGAAGCGCAGUAAUGCGUUAAGCUAACCAGUACUAAUUGCCCGUAAGGCUUGAUCCU